rnacentral:tRNA from 1 species
UGCGAGCGUGGCGGAAUUGGCAGACGCGCCAGAUUUAGGUUCUGGUAUCUUCGGAUGUGGAGGUUCGACUCCUCUCGCUCGCAU